AAGGUGGGGAAUCAGCACCAACUGAGCUGGAGCAGGAACUUGAGCUGAACCCAAAGCACCUGUGCUUGUGAGUGAUCUCCUGUGGGGCUUCUCAUGCCUGGGUCUGCAGCAGCAGGUUCCAGCCACAUCUGAGAGAAGGUGCUGCAGUGCUGAUGAGAGACAUUUCAAGAGCGGCUGGUGUUGCUGCUGCCGCUGCUGGAGAGGUCAGCCCUUUGUUUCGUUUAAUCACAUGGUGACUUUCAGGACUGAAUUAUUUUCUUAGUCACACUGUGAAUGUUGGUUCUCAACAAAGAGAAGAGCUUGAUCAGUCAGAGUGGACAGAGGAGAGGAUGCGAGAGGGAUGAGCAUUGAAGUGAUACUAGUAUGUUGCCUAAUGGUGAUGAAGACUGGGAUCCUAAAAUGAUGACUUGCUGAGGACAAGAAAUCUCUAAGUUGGCAUCUCAGCUGUGAGGUUACUGACUUUCACUCAUUAACUCACUGUGCUUGAAGACCCAAGUGAUCUCCCAAGUUUUUGAUGUGGAUUUACAUGCUCCAGUUCAAGUCAAAGGAAAGACUUCUCAUCGACUUCAUUAAGACUGUACUAAGCUCAAAGUGAAAAUAAGCAGCAACAGUAGAGCUAAGCUAAGAAAAAUUAACAGGAGAGGUAUUUGUGAAAAUGAGAUUUCAAGAGACAUAAGUUUGAAGGCAGAGAAACGUAGACUGUUCCAGACAGUGAGACUAAGAAAAUAUUGUGUCAAUACCAAUGACCAUGUGAAAAUACAGAGAAGUGAAUUUCGGACUGAUAGCAGUAAUAGAGGGAGAAAUAGUACGUUAUUUUCAGGAGGCGAGAAAAAGAUUGAAAAUAAGAUAUAUUUAAAACUUACAAAUUUAAUACUCCCGGAAUAAGUAUCUCAAAUCAGAUUUAAACUAUGUCCAUUGAGUUGUUUUUUUCUUUUUUCAGUCUUAUAAUUUCCAUUUUAAAAUCUAGUGGACAGAGAAAAAUACAGAAUCAAUAAACAUGCAACAGUG
ensembl:lncRNA